rnacentral:tRNA from 1 species
GGCGGAUUCGUCUAAAAGGUUAGGACGUUAGCCUCUCAAGCUAGAAAUGUUGAGUUCGAAUCUCACAUCCGUCA